rnacentral:lncRNA from 1 species
CUUUCGGGUUCCGUUUCCGCGCCUACGCGCACCGAAACGCUCGAUAGCUCCCGAACUUCAUCAAACUUCACCGGGACCAUUCAAACGGCUCUCCAAUCGAAUGUACACCGUAACUUAAUAGUUUUAGAAGUCCGGUACCUUACACUAAUGUUGUUCCGGUUUUUGUUCUUGUGAGCGAUGACAUCGAUUCGUUCCAAAUUUACACUCUCUGGCCAUAAUAGAACAAUUUAAUUAGGUUUUACGCUUUCUUCGAUAAAAUGAGAAAAAGCACUCGUUGCAAAGUUAUACUGUUAUGGCGCAACUGAGUAGUCUAAAGUUGUUCCGGUUUUUGUUCUUGUGAGCGUUGACAUCGAUUCGUUCCAAAUUUACACUCUCUGGGCAUAAUAGAACAAUAUAAUUAGGUUUUACGCUUUCUUCGAUAAAAUGAGAAAAAGUACUCGUUGCAAAGUUAUACUGUUAGGGCGCAACUGAAUAGUCUAAUGUUGCUCCGGUUUUUGUUCUGGUGAGCGUUGACAUCGAUUUGUUCCAAAUUUACCCUCUCUGGGCAUAAUAGAACAAUAUAAUUAGGGUUUACACUUUCUCCGAUAAAAUGAGAAAAAGUACACGUUGCAAAGUUAUACUGUUAGGGCGCAACUGAGUAGUCUAAUGUUGUUCCGGUUUUUGUUCUUGUGAGCGUUGAAAUCGAUUCGUUCCAAAUUUACACUCUCUGGUCAUAAUAGAAUAAUAUAACUAGGUUUUACGCUUUCUUCGAUAAAAUGAGAAAAAGUAUUCGUUGCAAAGUUAUACUGUUAGUGCGCAACUGAGUAGUCUAAUGUUGUUCUGGUUUUUGUUCUUGUGAGCGAUGACAUCGAAUCGUUCCAAAUUUACACUCUCUGGGCAUAAUAGAACAAUAUAAUUAGGUUUUACACUUUUCUUCGAUAAAAUGAGAAAAAAUACUCGUUGCAAAGUUAUACUGUUAGGGCGCAACUGAGAAGUCUAAUGUUGUUCCGGUUUUUGUUCUUGUGAGCGUUGACAUCGAUUCAUUCCAAAUUUACACUAUCUGGGCAUAAUAGAACAAUAUAAUUAGAUUUUACGGUUUCUUCGAUAAAAUGAAAAAAAGAACUCGUUGCAAAGUUAUACUGUUAUGGAGCAACUGAGUGGUCUAAUGUUGUUCCGAUUUUUGUUCUUGUGAGCGUUAACAUCGGAUCGUUCCAAAUUUACACUCUCUGGGCAUAAUAGAACAAUAUAAUUAGGUUUUACGCUUUCUUCGAUAAAAUGAGAAAAAGUACUCGUUGCAAAGUUAUACUGUUANA